rnacentral:rRNA from 1 species
UGCAUGUCUAGCAUGCGAGUCAUUGUAGCAAUACAAGGCAGACGGCUCAGUAACGCGUAGUCAAUCUACCCUAUGGACGGGAAUAACCUCGGGAAACUGAGAAUAAUGCCCGAUAGAACAUUAUACCUGGAACGGUUUAUGUUUCAAAUGAUUUAUCGCCAUAGGAUGGGACUGCGGCCUAUCAGUUUGUUGGUGAGGUAAUGGCCCACCAAGACUAUUACAGGUACGGGCUCUGAGAGGAGUAGCCCGGAGAUGGGUACUGAGACACGGACCCAGGUCCUAUGGGGCGCAGCAGGCGAGAAAACUUUGCAAUGUGCGAAAGCACGACAAGGUUAAUCCGAGUGGUUUCUGCUAAAGAAACCUUUUGUCAGUCCUAGAAACACUAACGAAUAAGGGGUGGGCAAGUUCUGGUGUCAGCCGCCGCGGUAAAACCAGCACCUCAAGUGGUCAGGAUGAUUAUUGGGCCUAAAGCAUCCGUAGCCCGUUUUGUAAGUUUUCGGUUAAAUCCAUGCGCUUAACGUAUGGGCUGCCGGGAAUACUGCAUAACUAGGAAGUGGGAGAGGUAGACGGUACUCGGGAGGAAAGGGGUAAAAUCCUUUGAUCUCUUGAUGACCACCUGUGGCGAAGCGGUCUACCGGGACACGUUCGACGUGAGGGAUGAAGCUGGGGGAGCAACCGGAUUAGAAUACCGGGUUAGUCCAGCUGUAACUAUGCAAACUCAUGAUGCAUUGCUUGGUGUCAUGCAAUGCUGCCAGGGCAGC